UACGUAGGGGGCAAGCGUUAUCCGGAAUCACUGGGCGUAAAGGGAGCGUAGGCGGUUUGACAAGCCAGAGGUGAAAGGCAAUAGCUUAACUAUUGUAAGCCUUUGGAACUGUCGAACUUGAGUGCAGGAGAGGAAAGUGGAAUUCCUAGUGUAGCGGUGAAAUGCGUAGAUAUUAGGAGGAACACCAGUGGCGAAGGCGACUUUCUGGACUGUAACUGACGCUGAGGCUCGAAAGCGUGGGGAGCGAACAGG
rnacentral:rRNA from 1 species